rnacentral:rRNA from 1 species
ACGAACGCUGGCGGCACGCUUAACACAUGCAAGUCGAGCGAGAGAAGAGAAGCUUGCUUUUCUGAUCUAGUGGCGGACGGGUGAGUAACACGUGAGCAAUCUGCCUUUCAGAGGGGGAUACCGAUUGGAAACGAUCGUUAAUACCGCAUAACAUAAUUGAACCGCAUGAUUUGAUUAUCAAAGAUUUAUCGCUGAAAGAUGAGCUCGCGUCUGAUUAGCUAGUUGGUAAGGUAACGGCUUACCAAGGCGACGAUCAGUAGCCGGACUGAGAGGUUGAUCGGCCACAUUGGGACUGAGACACGGCCCAGACUCCUACGGGAGGCAGCAGUGGGGAAUAUUGCACAAUGGAGGAAACUCUGAUGCAGCGAUGCCGCGUGAGGGAAGAAGGUUUUAGGAUUGUAAACCUCUGUCUUCAGGGACGAAAAAAGACGGUACCUGAGGAGGAAGCUCCGGCUAACUACGUGCCAGCAGCCGCGGUAAUACGUAGGGAGCGAGCGUUGUCCGGAAUUACUGGGUGUAAAGGGAGCGUAGGCGGGAUCGCAAGUCAGAUGUGAAAACUAUGGGCUUAACCCAUAAACUGCAUUUGAAACUGUGGUUCUUGAGUGAAGUAGAGGUAAGCGGAAUUCCUAGUGUAGCGGUGAAAUGCGUAGAUAUUAGGAGGAACAUCAGUGGCGAAGGCGGCUUACUGGGCUUUAACUGACGCUGAGGCUCGAAAGCGUGGGGAGCAAACAGGAUUAGAUACCCUGGUAGUCCACGCCGUAAACGAUGAUUACUAGGUGUGGGGGGACUGACCCCUUCCGUGCCGCAGCAAACGCAAUAAGUAAUCCACCUGGGGAGUACGACCGCAAGGUUGAAACUCAAAGGAAUUGACGGGGGCCCGCACAAGCAGUGGAGUAUGUGGAUUAAUUCGAAGCAACGCGAAGAACCUUACCAGGUCUUGACAUCGUAUGCAUAGCUCAGAGAUGAGUGAAAUCUCUUCGGAGACAUAUAGACAGGUGGUGCAUGGUUGUCGUCAGCUCGUGUCGUGAGAUGUUGGGUUAAGUCCCGCAACGAGCGCAACCCUUACUGUUAGUUGCUACGCAAGAGCACUCUAGCAGGACUGCCGUUGACAAAACGGAGGAAGGUGGGGAUGACGUCAAAUCAUCAUGCCCCUUAUGACCUGGGCCUCACACGUACUACAAUGGCUGUCAACAGAGGGAAGCAAAGCCGCGAGGUGGAGCAAACCCCUAAAAGCAGUCUUAGUUCGGAUUGUAGGCUGCAACCCGCCUACAUGAAGUCGGAAUUGCUAGUAAUCGCAGAUCAGCAUGCUGCGGUGAAUACGUUCCCGGGCCUUGUACACACCGCCCGUCACGCCAUGGGAGUCGGUAACACCCGAAGCCUGUAGUCUAACCGCAAGGAGGACGCAGUCGAAGGUGGGAUUGAUGACUGGGGUG